UUGGCUGUCGUCAGCUCGUGUCGUGAGAUGUUGGGUUAAGUCCCGCAACGAGCGCAACCCUCAUCCUUAGUUGCCAGCGGUUUUAGCCGGGCACUCUAAGGAAACUGCCUGUGAUAAGCAGGAGGAAGGCGGGGAUGACGUCAAGUCCUCAUGGCCCUUACGGGCUGGGCUACACACGUGCUACAAUGGCGGUGACAGUGGGAAGCGAAAGGGCAACCUGGAGCCAAUCCCCAAAAGCCGUCUCAGUUCGGAUUGUACUCUGCAACUCGAGUGCAUGAAGGUGGAAUCGCUAGUAAUCGUGGAUCAGCAUGCCACGGUGAAUACGUUCCCGGGCCUUGUACACACCGCCCGUCACACCAUGGGAGUUGGCUUUACCCGAAGGCGAUGCGCCGACCCGCAAGGGAGGCAGUCGACCACGGUAAGGUCAGCGACUGGGGUGAAGUCGUAACAAGGUAGCCGUAGGGGAACCUGCGGCUGGAUCACCUCCUUUCUAAGGACAUGUCGUGAGUCGAUACUUGCGCCGUCUACGCAUCCCUUCCGAGUUCGAAAUAACAUUAGGACCAUCGUUGUAUCAGCGGUAGUAAGUCUGUUGCUCCGGUGUGCGCUUACCUUAUGGGGGCGUAGCUCAGUUGGGAGAGCGACGGCUUUGCAAGCCGUAGGUCGUCGGUUCGAACCCGUCCGCCUCCACCAAAUCCAUUUGGGUCUUGGUGACUAUCAGGUUUGGGCUAGUAGCUCAGUUGGUUAGAGCGCGCGCUUGAUAAGCGUGAGGUCGGAAGUUCAAGUCUUCCCUGGCCCACCAAUUUUACGACCUAGGAAAGUGAAAUGCUUCUUCCUAAGGUCGUGUUGGUACUAAUGUUAACGCAAAAUUACGGAUUAGAAAUAAUUUUGUAUUGUUGUUUAAUCGAGCUUGGAAGUAAGAAUUUUUGCUGGUGCAAGUUGCGUCAGUGGGAUGUGUUUUUUGACAUGGUGAAGAGGUGAUGACUAAGAAUACCUAGUCUAGUUUAUGAUAAUUGACAUAAUCUAGCUAAUAUUUUUGGGAACAAAUUAAAGCAUCUUUAACAUGGAUGAUGUUGGUUUUUGACCGAUAUUUAUCCGUGUGUGAGUUGAUCAAGCGUCAUAAGGGCAUUUGGUGGAUGCCUUGGUUCCAAGAGGCGAUGAAGGACGUGACACGCUGCGAAAAGCUGUGGGGAGCUGCGAGUAAGCUUUGAUCCGCGGAUAUCCGAAUGGGGAAACCCGG
rnacentral:sRNA from 1 species